AGUGAACGCUGGCGGUAGGCCUAACACAUGCAAGUCGAACGGCAGCACAGUAAGAGCUUGCUCUUACGGGUGGCGAGUGGCGGACGGGUGAGGAAUACAUCGGAAUCUACUUUUUCGUGGGGGAUAACGUAGGGAAACUUACGCUAAUACCGCAUACGACCUACGGGUGAAAGCAGUGGAUCUUCGGACCUUGCGCGAUUGUAUGAGCCGAUGUCGGAUUAGCUAGUUGGCGGGGUAAAGGCCCACCAAGGCAACGAUCCGUAGCUGGUCUGAGAGGAUGAUCAGCCACACUGGAACUGAGACACGGUCCAGACUCCUACGGGAGGCAGCAGUGGGGAAUCUUGGACAAAGGGCGAAAGCCUGAUCCAGCAACACCGCGUGAGUGAAGAAGGCCUUCGGAUCGUAAAGCUCUGUUGUUAGGAAAGAAAAACAGCAGAAGAAACUACCGAUGUUCUGACGGUACCUAAAGAGUAAGCAACGGCUAACUUCGUG
rnacentral:rRNA from 1 species